AAUUGUCAUUCUCUUCUCCCUCCCUCAGAUCAACCACCUCUCUCUCUCUCCCAAACUCCACUGAAAACUUCUGUCUUCUCCGGCUCCUGUCUUCCGCUAGGGUGCCUCACUCUUCUUCUCUCCUCUCCCUAAGCACCGUUGCCCUCUCUCCAGCAGCGCCUCCCCCUCUCAUUCCUUUUUUCUCUCUUUCUGGCAGCGAGUAGUUACACCGGAGAGCUGCCAGGAGACCAGCAAUAGCCCGUAGCCAGGCGAGGCCAUGGCGAACAGUAGGCGACGGAGCCUCUCUCCUCUACCGCUUCCUCCUUCUCUUUUCUAUCUGUCCUAUAUGCCUUCCCUCCUCUUCCUUAUUUUUUUCUUCUCUCUUUGUAGGUCCAACAACAUCCCACUAGACAACAGCCACUAGUGACAACGGCUUUGGCAGAUGAGCAGGACAACCGGCCAACAAACAAGCAAACUCCAGGGAUGUUUUCGAAAGUUUCAAGGGGAUUAAACGACGGAUCUUAUUCAAAAUUUUUCCGGGUACAUUCAUUUUAAAUUAUUAACUUACAUAUUAAUACUUUCAUUUUUCUUUUUCACCUACUGUAAUUUUGGUUUCUUUGGAAGCUUCAUGUAUGCUUAAUGUUGAUUAACACCUUGUUUAAAGUAUGUUAAUUUACUCAUAUUGUGAUUUAAAUAUGAUCUAGGCUGGAAUCAAUUUUAAUGGCUUGUUAGAACUUUAUUGCUCUUCUGGAAUUUAUUCAUGUGUUCAUAUGUUAAUAUGCUGCGAAUAUUUUGUUGGUGUAGUGUUGAUUUCUUCUACUAAGAUAUCUGAUUUUUACUAGACAAAAUGACUAAUUUCGUGGUACAAAUCUCUGAAUUUCCUCUUAUUAUUUGCUAUCUCUCGUAAUUGAUUAUCACAUUAGCUGAAUUGAUACUAUGGGUUAAAAAUCGAUACAUGUCGAAUUAAUUUUACUUUAAUAAUUCAUUUAUUGAUAUUUCGCUAGAUUAUUUCUUACUUUCUUAUUUAUGACUACUUUAAUCAUUUUCUUUUCAUAUUUAAGUUGCUCAUCUAUUUGAUAAAAUAAAUUAAUAAUAAAAUCCGAUUUGACCAUUAUUAUUUAAGGAAAAUAUUAUUAUUAUUAUUAUUAUUACUAAUUUUUAUUCUUACUUGUUUAUAUUUGGUUAUGUCAUAUUUUCUUUUUGUUUAAAAAAAAUCUAAUUUUACUCUCUUUUAAAUAAGAAAAAUAAUAUAUUAAUUAAUUCCCUGACAUAUUUUUUCUUCCCUAAUGUGUGCCCCUCUUCUACUAUAUAAAGAGAAUCCCUCAUUCACUAUCCAAGACAGACAUCUUCAAAAGAACACCAGUUGUCUCAUUGCUCAUUCACUCUCACAUCCUAAUAAUUUCUCAUAUAAUCUCUAAUCUUGAAAUAAAAAUAAGAAUUUUCUAAGAAAUAUUCAAGUGCUUUCUUUGCCGUGUUGUUGUUGUGGUUUGGAAAAUCUAUCAAUACUUCAUUGCUGAUAAAUCUUCUGAAUAAUUAGUUAGCCCUCUUUAUUAUUUUAAAUUUUGUUUUUGCAUAAUUAUCAUUCUUUUUUGUUGGAAACAAAAGGGAAGCAUCCAACUUAGUUUCCUUAUCCUUUCUCCCUAUGUAUGGUAGUAUGUCUAUGCAUAUUCUUUGUCCUUUUUAUUUCUUAUGUGUGUUGUUUAUAUAUGUAUAUAUCAAUGUAAUUUGUUACUAUGAAUAUUAUAUAUGACAUUUAUUUCUCAUUGAGUAUGUGUUACAUUACCUCUUCUAGCAGGUUUUGAACUUAGAGUUAAAGUUGAUGAAGAGUAGCCUAGAAGAAAUUUCGGACGAAACUUCAUUUAUUUUAAUGUUGUGUUAUAUUUUCAUUUUUUAUUAUUACACUAUGUGUAUAAUUCUCUAACCUUACAUAUAAAUGAAAUAAAUUUGGUGGAUCGCAUAAGGGGAGAGAAUUAUUUUCUAAUUAUCUCUUUAUUUGCAAACUUAUUUGUGCUAGAAAACAUGCC
rnacentral:lncRNA from 1 species